UGGUGCUGGUCUCCUUUACAGAGAUGGAGGGUGUUGCCCUAGGGAGGCUGUCUGUGUCUUGCUGGGUAUUUGAGCUGUAACAGCCCUGCACACUAUGCCCAAAGGCAAAGGGAAUUGGCAAGGAAGAAUGAGUCAGAGCCAGGAAAGGACUUGGAGGUUAUGAGAAGCAUUUCAAAAUGAAUUGGAAGCUUCACAAGCAGCCAACAAGGUGACUGAAGCACAGGAGAAAUAGAAUUGGAGUGCUGUGAGCUGAUGAAUAACCAUAUUGCAGUGUGGCUGAGCACCUGUGGCCACAGCCAGUACAUGGGGAGAGGGAUGAAUGCUGAGGAGCUCUGCUGAUCAGCCCAGCUUGGCAGUGGUGUCAGUCAGGAGCAUGCAGAGCAGGGCUGGUGAACUGCCCUGAGGUUAAUGCACGGAUUCUACAGAAUCACAGACUGGGUUGGGUUGGAAGAGACCUUAGAGAGUGCCUAAUUUCAAUCCCCCUGCUACAGGCAAGGGCACCUGCCGCUGACAAGGCUGCUCAGAGCCCUGUCCCACUCCAUCACUGCUGGAGAGGUGGCACCCGCAGCUUCUCUGGGCAGCCGCUUCAGUGCCUCCCUACCCUCACAGAGGAGAACUUCUUCCUUGCAGCUAACCUUCCCUCUGAACUCACUACCCCUUGUCCCAUCACUUCAUAGCCCUGUUAAAGGUCUCUCCUCACCUGCCCUGUAGCUCCUGAGGCACUGAAAGGCUGCAAUAAGGUUUCCUCGGAGCCUUCUUCUCCCACGGCUGCACAAGAUCAGGUCUCUGAGCUCACAAGGGAGGCCUCCAGGCCCUGAUCAUCUUCAUGUUACACCUUCCCCUGGGCCUGGGUGC